ACUAUCGUAGCCCAACAGGUAGAGGCAAGGGUCUUAAAAACCCUACAGUAUUGGGUUCGAAUCCCAUCGGUAGUA
rnacentral:tRNA from 2 species